rnacentral:lncRNA from 1 species
GUCUGAUAGGUACUCCUGAAAGAGGCAGAUGAGGGAUCUGUGAAGUCUGUACUUCGGUAGUGUCAACAUCAUUAUGGCUAAAUGGAGUCUUUUAUCUAGGGAGCCUUCAGUGGCUGGAAGGUGAUCCUGAAUGUUGAUCACACCAAGGAAGCAGGAUUCCGACGCCUUCUUCAGUCAGGAGGAGCAAAAGUGUUUUCUGGUCAUUCUGUGUCUUUCUUCAAAGAAGCGACUCAUCUCUUCGCUGACUUCAGUAAGCUGAAGCCAGAUGACACCAGGGUGAACAUAGCAGAGGCGGCAGAGCAGGGAGUGAACUGCUUGAAGCCAGAGUACAUUGCAGACUUCCUCAUCCAGGUGUGUGCUGUGCAG